AGGACAAGCAUAACGUCGUCGGGUUGAGGAAGACCAAGUGGUUGAGGAGCAUUAAUUUUGGCUCCUUCAAAGUGAACAAUGCGAACUAAUCGAGACUUGGGACACCAAGCAAGUUCGGCCACUGCGACAGACAAUUUCUUAGCAGCACGAACAGCAGGGGUAUUUGCGGCAACGGAGCCUUCGGGAACAAUGACGAGUUUACUUUUCAGAUCAUCAAUGUAAAACUCAAACUCGGAUUGCUUGUAGUUGGAGUUCAGGGGCCCACAAAUAGCUCUUUG